AGGACGAACGCUGGCGGCGUGCUUAACACAUGCAAGUCGAGCGGUAAGGCCUCUUCGGGGGUACACGAGCGGCGAACGGGUGAGUAACACGUGGGUGACCUGCCCUCAGCUCUGGGAUAAGCCUGGGAAACUGGGUCUAAUACUGGAUAUGACUGCGCAUCGCAUGGUGUGUGGUGGAAAGUUUUUCGGCUGGGGAUGGGCCCGCGGCCUAUCAGCUUGUUGGUGGGGUGAUGGCCUACCAAGGCGACGACGGGUA
rnacentral:rRNA from 1 species